UUUGUAAGUAAUUGUAUCUAUUUUGAUGGUGUCUUUCAUUGUUCUGUUUUUGCCAGUGCAUUUUUUUUAAUUUCAUUUUAUUUUCUAUCCAAUUUAGAUUUUUCAGGCAGAAGUUUCAACUGAUCUUUCUCCCCUGUCACUCUCUCCCACACACACGAACAUGCAGUACCUCAACACAUGCCAAAACCAAGAGCAGAAAAGAAAAGCCCUCUAUGGAGCAGAAAAUGAAGCUACAUCCAAGGAUUUUGAGGUGGCUUUUAUUUACAAAAAGGAUAUAUCUUAUCCUGUUGAAUGAGGUAUGGUUUUUGUUUGUUUGGUAGAUUUUUGGUUUUGUCACCUUUGUGAUUACUUUUCUUUUUAUGAAGGUUUUGCAAUAUGUAGCUAGAUAGAUGCCCACUAAAUGCAGUUAUACAGUUGAUCCAUUUAUUAUCUCGCAGCUCAUUAUAUGUUGUAUUUUAUCAUUUGUUUCUGUAUGGAAUAUUAGACAGUUAACAUGUCACCUUUAGCUCAUGUCCAGAAG
rnacentral:lncRNA from 1 species